ACGGGUGAGUAACGCGUGGGAACAUACCUCUUGGUUCGGAACAACACAGGGAAACUUGUGCUAAUACCGGAUAAGCCCUUACGGGGAAAGAUUUAUCGCCGAGAGAUUGGCCCGCGUCUGAUUAGCUAGUUGGUGGGGUAAAGGCCUACCAAGGCGACGAUCAGUAGCUGGUCUGAGAGGAUGAUCAGCCACAUUGGGACUGAGACACGGCCCAAACUCCUACGGGAGGCAGCAGUGGGGAAUAUUGGACAAUGGGCGCAAGCCUGAUCCAGCCAUGCCGCGUGAGUGAUGAAGGCCCUAGGGUUGUAAAGCUCUUUUGUACGGGAAGAUAAUGACGGUACCGUAAGAAUAAGCCCCGGCUAACUUCGUGCCAGCAGCCGCGGUAAUACGAAGGGGGCUAGCGUUGCUCGGAAUCACUGGGCGUAAAGGGUGCGUAGGCGGGUUUUUAAGUCAGAGGUGAAAUCCUGGAGCUCAACUCCAGAACUGCCCUUGAUACUGAAAGUCUUGAGUAUGGGAGAGGUGAGUGGAACUGCGAGUGUAGAGGUGAAAUUCGUAGA
rnacentral:rRNA from 1 species